rnacentral:rRNA from 1 species
UACGUAGGAUGCAAGCGUUGUCCGGAAUUAUUGGGCGUAAAGAGUUCGUAGGCGGUUGCCUAAGUCUGGUGAUUAAAUACAGGAGCUCAACUCCUGCAUGGCACUGGAAACUGGGCGGCUAGAGUGUGGUAGAGGUCACGGGAAUUCCAGGUGUAGCAGUAGAAAUGCGUAGAGAUGUGGAGGAACACCGAUGGCCGAAGGCAGCCCCUGGGUUAACACUGACGCUCAGGCACGAAAGCGUGGGGAGCAAACAGG